GUGCUCACUUCAGCAGCACAUACACUAAAAUUAGAAUGCUACAAAGAAUAUUUGUAUGGACGCUGCACAAGAAUAACACAAAAAUUUGUGAAGUGUCCCAUGAAAAA